rnacentral:lncRNA from 1 species
CUCUCGGGUUGGCUCUUGUACCAGUACAGGAGCCCGUGUACCGGUACAAGAGGGUAGGUGGUAGGGUAAUUAGGUAAUUUUCACCCUCGUUUGUAUCACCACUCCACCUACCUUUUUAUACUGAUGUAGAGAGCAUGAGAGGAAGUUCUUUUGCUGCUCCUUUUCCCCCUCUUCACCUCUCUAGCUUGGUUCGACCGUGGAGGAGUCCGGUUGGGGAUUUCGUCGCCGACGUCGCGCCGCGAGCCGUUCGAGCGCACUUGCUGCCGGAGCUUUGCGAGGAGGCCGGACGAGGGAGCGUCUUCACUGUUCUUGACGUCGCGCCGAGGUUCGACGUUGUCGAGGUGGGUGAUUCGGCGUCUUUUCUGGAUUUUGGGCAAGUAUUACCAUUUCUAUUCGGUUAGUAGCUGUUUUGCUGAAAUCCGCCGUCGACUGUUCGUAUUUCAGCUCGUUCUCCGCGUAGGAACGUCGGAUCGCGACGAGGCUUGGUUCGUUGGAUUCGGGACUUCGAGAGGAAUCCACGAAGCCCUCAUUUGCCAGAUUUGGUGAAGGUUAGCUCGGUCGAAUCCCGUUUCUACUCAGCUGCUGUGAAUUUCUGGACUGAAUUGAGGAUCCUUAAUUAUUUAGCUUGGCGUUAGCUCGUCCACCGGACUUGGAGGUCCCCAGUUGAUCCAGCAGAAGUUGUCCUGGUUCGAGGCUUCGUUCGCUGCCUGGAUUUAGCUUUUGAGGUGGGUUACAUCGGCUUUACUCCUAAGUUAUUAUUGGUCGACAUGUAUAGAUCUUGAUUU